rnacentral:rRNA from 1 species
UGCAUGUCUAAGUACAUGCCGUAUUAAGGCGAAACCGCGAAUGGCUCAUUAAAUCAGUUAUGGUUCCUUGGAUCGUACCUUACUACUUGGAUAACUGUGGCAAUUCUAGAGCUAAUACAUGCAGCAGAGCUCCGACCUUCGGGGACGAGCGCUUUUAUUAGACCAAACCAAUCGGACCUCGUGUCCGUCCUUUGUGGUGACUCUGUAUAACUUUGGGCUGAUCGCACGGGCCCGUCCCGGCGACGUAUCCUUCAAAUGUCUGCCUUAUCAACUUUCGAUGGUAGGUUACGCGCCUACCAUGGUCGUAACGGGUAACGGGGAAUCAGGGUUCGAUUCCGGAGAGGGAGCCUGAGAAACGGCUACCACAUCCAAGGAAGGCAGCAGGCGCGCAAAUUACCCACUCCCAGAACGGGGAGGUAGUGACGAAAAAUAACAAUACGGGACUCUUUUGAGACCCCGUAAUUGGAAUGAGUACACUCUAAAUCCUUUCACGAGGAUCCAUUGGAGGGCAAGUCUGGUGCCAGCAGCCGCGGUAAUUCCAGCUCCAAUAGCGUAUAUUAAAGUUGUUGCGGUUAAAAAGCUCGUAGUUGGAUCUCAGUUCCAGACGGGUGGUCCGCCUAACGGUGGUUACUGCCUGUUCUGAACAGCCAGCCGGUUUCUCUUGAUGAUCUUCACCGGUUGUCUUGGGUGACCGGCAAGUUUACUUUGAAAAAAUUAGAGUGCUCAAAGCAGGCGUGACGCCUGAAUAAUGGUGCAUGGAAUAAUGGAAUAGGACCUCGGUUCUAUUUUGUUGGUUUUCGGAACACGAGGUAAUGAUUAAGAGGGACAGACGGGGGCAUUCGUAUUGCGACGCUAGAGGUGAAAUUCUUGGACCGUCGCAAGACGAACUACUGCGAAAGCAUUUGCCAAGAAUGUUUCCAUUAAUCAAGAACGAAAGUUAGAGGUUCGAAGGCGAUCAGAUACCGCCCUAGUUCUAACCAUAAACGAUGCCAGCCAGCGAUCCGGCUGUGUUCCUCAAAUGACACGCCGGGCAGCUUCCGGGAAACCAAAGCUUUUGGGUUCCGGGGGAAGUAUGGUUGCAAAGCUGAAACUUAAAGGAAUUGACGGAAGGGCACCACCAGGAUUGGAGCCUGCGGCUUAAUUUGACUCAACACGGGUAAACUUACCCGGCCCGGACACAGGAAGGAUUGACAGAUUAAGAGCUCUUUCUUGAUUCUGUGGAUGGUGGUGCAUGGCCGUUCUUAGUUG